rnacentral:rRNA from 1 species
CCUACGGGGGGCAGCAGUGAGGAAUAUUGGUCAAUGGACGAGAGUCUGAACCAGCCAAGUAGCGUGAAGGAUGACUGCCCUAUGGGUUGUAAACUUCUUUUAUAUGGGAAUAAAACGUUCCACGUGUGGGAUUUUGUAUGUACCAUAUGUAUAAGGAUCGGCUAACUAUGUGCCAGCAGCCGCGGUAAUACGGAGGAGCCGAGCGUUAUCCGGAUUUAUUGGGUUUAAAGGGAGCGGAGGGGGAUUGUUAAGUCAGUUGGGAAAGUUUGGGGCUCAACCGUGAAAUUGCAGUUGAAACUGGCAGUCUAGAGUACAGGAGAGGUGGGCGGAAUGCGUGGUGUAGCGGUGAAAUGCGUAGAUAUCACGAAGAACUCCGAUGGCGAAGGCAGCUCACUGGACUGCAACUGACACUGAGGCUCGAAAGUGUGGGUAUCAAACAGGAUUAGAUACCCCUGUAGUC